CAGCGGGCUUCAGAGGCAGGCAGCUAGGCAGAAGGCAAGGUAGCACAACCAUUUUUGUCCCCGUUUAGGGCAACUUUGGGAGAAAAUCUGCAGUUUUUGCAUAUGCCUGGGCAGUUUUUGCAUAUGCCAAGAGGUAUUUGAAUGAGAUACAGGAUACGCUGCAAAAUAAUUUCAGCAGUGCAGUUCUGCCCAGCUUAGCUGCACUCCUGUGCUGAAGCUGCCAGAGAUAGCUUUGGGACCCACGCGACAGCGAGAGUGUCAGCACUGUAAAUAAUCCUCAGUGGAUCCUGGCUGUGGAAGGGAAGAAAUUAGGUGCUGAUUGAGCUGUGAACAACCGCACUGCUGACAACUAAGCUGAGAACACAGAAGCAUUGCUGCCACCAGCUGUACCCCAGCCCAGCAGGCAGCAAAGUGGCCAUUCAGUACAGCAGGUUGGCUUGGUAUUUGGAGAAUUCAUUGCCUAUGUUUAAAGAAGAAACAUGACUCAGAUACAUGUGAUCAAAAGUAUCUGCAUAGAAAUUGGAGGUUGAUGUUUGCUAGCAGGCAAAGCACACUCUUUAGAAGCAAUGAGCCCCAUUGAAAAGAAGUACCCUUCAGUUACAAAUAAAGACCAGGCUGUUGGACCAUUAAAAGAAAAGAACAUGCCUCACCUUAUUUUGUUAAGUUUCAUGAAAAUCUGUGAGAUUUGGCUGCUGCUUUCUACAACUGACAUCCUGCAGCUUCAUUAGGAUUAUCUGGUACUUUGAAAAAAGCCACCAAUGAGGACACCAGGCAUUUACCAUGUGCCAUCAGACAUCAACAUGCAGGGACAAAAAUUUCACUGCUUCUCCUACAUGGCAUCAUGCUGAGCAGGAAUUCAAAACAGGCCACCUGGGUGAGGAUGAAGGGGAGCCACGGUUCAGGUAGUGAAGUAGUCACAGCCGUGCCUUGCCAGCAUUGUACCAUGCCAGUCCUAGAGAAAAAGUAUCUGAACCACACUGACCUGGACCUGGCUCUGACACGGUGGGAUGUGAAAGGAGGAACACGUACAGCUGGUUAAUGUGCAGCCUGGUACCACAACUGCAUGUCUGAAGGAAGGAGUGGCAAGCAUGGACCCUUUGCUAGGCACCUUGUUUGCAAGGAAGGAAUCUGUUGGGGCCAGGCAGUGGGUACCUUGCUGCUGUGCUUACCGUGGGCUGCUUGUCUGCAAAAACAGCAAUGGGAUGUGCCUUGGAGGCAGCCUGUGGACAGGCACAGGAAAGGAAAAGCAGAGGAGACAGAAGACAAGCAGGAAUUGCAAAACAAAGGGAUAUACACAGAAGAUUUGAGGUUACAGAAUCUUAUCUGGUUGAAACAGAAAGAAGGAAAACGUAGAGGUAUUUCAUUUUAAAUGUCAAGAGACUAUAGAGGCACGAUUCUUCAAGGAAAGCAAACAAGAGACACUCAUGCUUGUA